UACAGGGGGGGCAAGCGUUGUUCGGAAUUACUGGGCGUAAAGGGUUCGUAGGCGGCCAACUAAGUCACACGUGAAAUCCCCAGGCUUAACCUGGGAACUGCGUGUGAUACUGGAUGGCUUGAAUCCGGGAGAGGAAUGCGGAAUUCCAGGUGUAGCGGUGAAAUGCGUAGAUAUCAGGAGGAACACCGAUGGCGAAGGCAGGUUUCUGGGCCAUAACUGACGCUGAGAAGCGAAAGCAUGGGGAGCGAACAGG
rnacentral:rRNA from 1 species